rfam:Picea glauca, whole genome shotgun sequence.
GUAACGGUGUCUUUAGACACCACCUUUAUUUUUUAUUUUAUUUUCU